GAGAAACCCCAAAAGGUCGAACGGGAGGAUUCACGUCCGCCCGGCCCCGCCCGACGUCGACGGCUGCCCGCCACGGUUCGGUCGCGCAGAGGGAGGACGGCCCCGCCCCGAGCGGAGCCCGCACUCCCGGAGCGUCUCGCCGCGGCGAGGAGAGACGCACCCAGAGCGUACACGUUGGGACCCGAAAGAUGGUGAACUAUGCCUGGCCAGGAUGGAGUCAGGGGAAAGUCUGAUGGAGGUCCGUAGCGAUUCUGACGUGCAAAUUGAUCGUCGGAGCUGGGUAUAGGGGCGAAAGACCAAUCAAACCAUCUAGUAGCUGGUUCCCCCCGAAGUUUCCCUCAGGAUAGCUGGCGCUCGGAGGAGAGAGUCUCAUAUGGUAAAGCAAAUAAUUAGAGGCCUUCGGGCCGAAACGACCUCAACCUAUUCUCAAACUUUAAAUGGGUGAGAUCUCCGGCUUGCUAGAAGUGAAGCCGGAGACGGAUCGUAGUGCCAAUGUGCCAUUUUUGGUAAGCAGAACUGGCGCUGUGGGAUGAACCAAACGCAGAGUUAAGGCGCCCAAAGCGACGCUCACGGGAAACUAUGAAAGGUGUUGGUUGCUUAAGACAACAGAACGGUGGCCAUAGAAGUCGGAACCCACUAAGGAGUGUGUAACAACUCACCUGCCGAAGCAACUAGCCCUGAAAAUGGAUGGCGCUGAAGCGUCGUGCCUAUACUCUGCCAUCGGCGCCAGGAGGGGGCCCGGCCGAGGCCGGGCCCCGGCCAAGCCCCGACGAGUAGGAGGGUCGCGGUAGCGAGCCUGUCUGAAGCCGGCGCAGAUCUUGGUGGUAGUAGCAAAUACUCCAGCUAGGACCUGGAGGACUGACGCGGAGAAGGGUUUCGUGUGAACAGCCGUUGCACACGAGUCAGUCGAUCCUAAGCCCUAGGAGAUAUCCUAAGCCGAUGGUUCGGCGUACAGUAUAAAGCAAGCUCGGCCGACCGUCGGGCGAAAGGGAAUCCGGUUCCUAUUCCGGAACCCGGCAGCGAAACCGUUCUAAUUCGGGCACUCGCGAGAGGACUCGUGGGAGUAACCCAACAGGACCCGGAACGCCGUCGGGAGAUCCGGGAAGAGUUUUCUUUUCUGCAUGAGCGUUCGAGUUCCCUGGAAUCCUCUAGCAGGGAGAUAGAGUUUGGAACGCGAAGAGCACCGCAGUUGCGGCGGUGUCCCGAUCUUCCCCUCGGACCUUGAAAAUCCGGGAGGGGGCCACGUGAAGCUUUCGCGCCGGCUCAUAC
rnacentral:rRNA from 1 species